rnacentral:rRNA from 1 species
UACGAAGGGUGCAAGCGUUACUCGGAAUUACUGGGCGUAAAGCGUGCGUAGGCGGUUUGUUAAGUCCGUUGUGAAAGCCCUGGGCUCAACCUGGGAACUGCGUCGGAUACUGGAUGGCUUGAAUCCGGGAGAGGGAUGCGGAAUUCCAGGUGUAGCGGUGAAAUGCGUAGAUAUCUGGAGGAACACCGGUGGCGAAGGCGGCAUCCUGGACCGGCAUUGACGCUGAGGAGCGAAAGCCAGGGGAGCA